CACUARUUUUCAGUUCUUCGGAAGACAUGUUUAGUGACUUACCGGCGGACGGGUGAGUAACGCGUGGGUAACCUGCCUCAUACAGGGGGAUAACAGUUAGAAAUGACUGCUAAUACCGCAUAAGAUCACAGUAUCGCAUGAUACAGUGAUAAAAACUCUGGUGGUAUGAGAUGGACCCGCGUCUGAUUAGCUAGUUGGUAAGGUAACGGCUUACCAAGGCAACGAUCAGUAGCCGGCCUGAGAGGGUGAACGGCCACAUUGGGACUGAGACACGGCCCANACUCCUACGGGAGGCAUCAGUGAGGAAUAUUGCACAAUGGGGGAAACCCUGAUGCAGCGACGCCGCGUGAAGGACGAAGUAUUUCGGUACGUAAACUUCUAUCACCAGGGAAGAAAAUGACGGUACCUGACUAAGAAGCCCCGGCUAACUACGUGCCAACAGCCGCGGUAAUACGUAGGGGGCAAGCGUUAUCCGGAUUUACUGGGUGUAAAAGGAACGUAGACGGUUGUGUUAAUCUGAUGUGAAAGGCAGGGGCUCACCCCUGGGAA
rnacentral:rRNA from 1 species